rnacentral:rRNA from 1 species
UAACACAUGCAAGUCGAGCGAUUUUCUUCGGAAGAGAGCGGCGGACGGGUGAGUAACGCGUGGGUAACCUGCCCUGUACACACGGAUAACAUACCGAAAGGUAUGCUAAUACGGGAUAACAUAAGAAAGUCGCAUGGCUUUCUUAUCAAAGCUUUUGCGGUACAGGAUGGACCCGCGUCUGAUUAGCUAGUUGGUAAGGUAACGGCUUACCAAGGCGACGAUCAGUAGCCGACCUGAGAGGGUGAUCGGCCACAUUGGAACUGAGACACGGUCCAAACUCCUACGGGAGGCAGCAGUGGGGAAUAUUGCACAAUGGGCGAAAGCCUGAUGCAGCAACGCCGCGUGAGCGAUGAAGGCCUUCGGGUCGUAAAGCUCUGUCCUCAAGGAAGAUAAUGACGGUACUUGAGGAGGAAGCCCCGGCUAACUACGUGCCAGCAGCCGCGGUAAUACGUAGGGGGCUAGCGUUAUCCGGAAUUACUGGGCGUAAAGGGUGCGUAGGCGGUCUUUCAAGUCAGAAGUGAAAGGCUACGGCUCAACCGUAGUAAGCUUUUGAAACUGUAAGACUUGAGUGCAGGAGAGGAGAGUGGAAUUCCUAGUGUAGCGGUGAAAUGCGUAGAUAUUAGGAGGAACACCAGUUGCGAAGGCGGCUCUCUGGACUGUAACUGACGCUGAGGCACGAAAGCGUGGGGAGCAAACAGG